CGAAGAACUUACCUGGUCUUGACAUCCCGGAGACCCUUAGGAACUAGGGGUGCUUCCAUCUGGAGAAUCUGGAGCAGGUGCUGCAUGGCUGUCGUCAGCUCGUGUCGUGAGAUGUUGGGUUAAGUCCCGCAACGAGCGCAACCCUUGCCUUUAGUUGUCCAGCAGUUCGGCUGGGCACUCUAAAGGGACUGCCGGUGUUAAACCGGAGGAAGGUGGGGAUGACGUCAAGUCCUCAUGGCCUUUAUGACCAGGGCUACACACGUACUACAAUGGCCGAUACAAAGGGCAGCGACACUGCGAGGUGAAGCCAAUCCCGUAAAAUCGGUCUCAGUCCGGAUUGGAGUCUGCAACUCGACUCCAUGAAGUUGGAAUCGCUAGUAAUCGUGGAUCAGCAUGCCACGGUGAAUACGUUCCCGGGCCUU
rnacentral:rRNA from 1 species